UUCCGGAGCUGGGAGAGGGAGGAAUAGAUCCCAAGUGUCCUGGGUUCUAAUUCUAUCAAGGCUAUCUGGCUGCGUGACCCGAGCUAGACCCUUGAGUCUUACUUUUUUCUUCAGCUGUUAAAAGGGGAGCACUACGUACGUGAGGAGUAGUUAUAGCCUGCGUUGAUUAAGCACCAACUGAGUGCCAGCAAGGAACUUGUAAAUACCUAUUGACAAUAAGCAUUGAUCGAGCGCCUGUGGAAAAAGGCAAAUAGACCCCGCCCUCUAGGGCCUGUGUACUGGGGGAGAUAGCUGUGACACCUUAUUGAGGGAGACAAGACUUGGGUAAAAUCAGAAUCUCAAAGAAAACACUGAAGAAGGAAUUAUUUUGGAGGGCCAUGGCCUUUAAAAGAAAGAAAUUACUGACAUUCCAAGAUGUUGCUGUGGAAUUCACCCAGGAGGAAUGGAGCUAUUUGGAUCCUGGCCAGAAGGACAUGUACAGGGAUGUGAUGCUGGAGAACUAUGAGAACUUUCUCUUUCUGGGUAAGAUAAUUGUUUUUUAGUCAUUCUGUCAGCAUUUGUUGGUCUCCAAGUGAGUACCAUGAACUAUGGUAGUCACUAGAAGGCGAAAGGUAAAAAUUAGACAGGUCCUGCCCUCAUGGAGCUUUUAUACUAUAUAACGAGAUCCAAGUAUGUCAGUAUUUGUCAAUAUAAAACAAGUCUUUUCUAAAGGUCUGGCAAUAGCAGCUAGGGGAUUAAGGAAAAGCCUCAUUCUAGCUAUGGUUUUCCCUCAGCUAAGUUGUGCAGGUAACUAGGGUUGCAAAAGUUGAAGAGCAAAGAGCAGGGAAAGGCAAAGUGGGGGGAGCAUCCCAUGGUGACCUGCAGAGAUGGCAGGGAGAGCAUCAUGUGUGAGCCACUGCAAGGUCAGAGAAUUCCAUCUGUCCAUGGCUGUGGGGGCUGAGGAGCUUGGCUAAAUUUGAAUUUGCUGGACAGGGAGGGAGAGUCACACAAAUAGCUUUCACACAGAGAUGCCCUCAGACCUUUGGGCAGUUUGUGAGCAGUUGUUGCUCUUCCCAGACAAAAAGUCCUUCUUUGUCCAGCUGGAAAUCAGCAGUUUCGUUCUGCAGCCCUGCAGACUCUCCUUUCACACUUUCUGCUCAGCCAGGCUUCAGGUUCUCCAUAGAGCCCCAGGGCAGAGAAGGAAAGACUUCUCCCAGCAGACUAGGAGAGGGUGAACAUGACCCCAUCUGUCCUGAGUCUGCACCAAAGGAUCUGUCCUUUCCCUCAUGUUUGCUGAGGGAAACGUCCUUCAGUGGUCAUUGAUGUUUCUCUACUGGCAUUUCCAGACCUGCCCUUUUUCUGUAGAGAGACCAGGAUGAGUUCUGCGGUGUCUCUGUGUUCUCAGCACUUCCCACUUAUUUCUCCUUGAGCAGGGCUUCCAGUAACUAAACCAACUGUGAUUUCUCAUCUGGAGAGACAUGAAGCUCCCUGGCUAUCAAGGGAAGAAGACCCCAGAUGCAUUUCUGAGGAUUCCUCUGUUGAAAAAAGAGAAUGUGAAAACAAGGAGUCAUUUCCAAAACAGUAUAUUCCUACCAGAAAGACAUCCAGGAAGAGACUUG